UACGUAGGGUGCGAGCGUUGUCCGGAAUUAUUGGGCGUAAAGAGCUUGUAGGCGGUUUGUCGCGUCUGCUGUGAAAAUCCGGGGCUCAACCCCGGACUUGCAGUGGGGUACGGGCAGGCUAGAGUGUGGUAGGGGAGACUGGAAUUCCUGGUGUAGCGGUGAAAUGCGCAGAUAUCAGGAGGAACACCAAUGGCGAAGGCAGCUCGCUGGGACGGUACUGACGCUGAGACGCGAAAGCGUGGGGAGCAAACAGG
rnacentral:rRNA from 1 species